rnacentral:misc_RNA from 1 species
GAUGAAGGAACGCAGCGAAAUGCGAUAAGUAAUGUGAAUUGCAGAAUUCAGUGAAUCAUCGAAUCUUUGAACGCACAUUGCGCCCCUUGGUAUUCCGAGGGGCAUGCCUGUUCGAGCGUCAUUAUAACCCCUCAAGCUCAGCUUGGUGUUGGGGCCUGCUGCACUGGCAGCCCUUAAAAUCAGUGGCGGCGCCAUCUGGCUCUAAGCGUAGUAAUUCUUCUCGCUAUGGAGUCCUGGUGGAUGCUUGCCAUCAACCCCCAAUUUUUCUAUGGUUGACCUCGGAUCAGGUAGGGAUACCCGCUGAACUUAAGCAUAUCAAUAAGCGGAGGA